rnacentral:tRNA from 1 species
GUCCUUGUAGCUCAGCAGGAUAGAGCAAUCGCCUCCUAAGCGAUAGGUCGCUGGUUCGAACCCAGUCAAGGACG